rnacentral:snoRNA from 1 species
AAGGUGAUGUUCUUAUUUGCUAAUUUUCUGAGUCCCUUUGAAAACAUUCAGCCCCCCACACAAACUUCAUGCAGCCAGAGUAGUUUGGAAUCAUAGAACUGGUCUAGUGUUGUCUCUUAGGAUACAUCCAUCACUGGCCAGCCUCCAAAUUCCCUCACAUGG